rnacentral:lncRNA from 1 species
UUUAGUACUCAUUAAAAAAUGCUUGCCUUAAGUGUGGCUAGAACCAAACACCCAUCUAAUUUGGUCAAACUUGUCUAAUAUAAAUUGCGGCAAAGUGCGGAACCAAACAGCCCCAAGUCACUGACUGAGCCUUCGCUCGACUGACGCGCACCCUCGGUAGCGCCAUUCCCCAACUUGCGCCGCCCCAGAUCUGACCCACGCACCCACGGCGGCUCCACCGCGCCAACGCGAGGCAACUACACAGUACAUUCACGCUCGCCCUCUCCCCAACGCCUGCCCGACAGCACCGCAACAUCCCAGGCGACGAAGACCAGUCGUGGCCCGCCAAGGCCCGGAUCGGGCCCACCCGCAACUCUCUACAUGUCAUCGUCCCUAGGAACCUCCCCGCGCUCGCAGCGACGCGCUUGUGUACCACCACGUCGCCCCGGCAAGCCCCUUUGCGCCGACCAGUGCCAGUAGUGCGCCGAUGCCAGCCGCUCCACGCUACCGCCGGGCCGAGCCCACGCCCCGCGUGCGCGACGCGCUAGAGGAAACCGGAGCCCCACCGCCACCUUCUUGAGGCCGGCCCGAGCUUUGCCAGGAGGCACCCGUCGGUGGCGACGAGACAAGGAGGAAGAGGGGAUGAGAGUUGCAGCGGCUAGGGUUUUCACCCCUCGAUAGUGACGUGGGGGCCUCGUUUGUGUUUUUGCCCUCAUUUAUUACAUGUGUCGGCCUGGUGGCAACUAUGUAUCUUUUUUUUCAUCUUUGGUGUUUUUAUCCGUUCCUUUGUUUUUUUCUUAUUUCAUUUCAUUUUACUCUUUUCGAAUACAUAUCCUUUUUGUAAUAUGCAUUGUAAAUUUUUCGUAUACACGCG